UAUAAGAAGAGGGAGUUUCGGCCAAUUUUUCGCUAGCCACAAUUUGCUCAAUUUGGACCAAUUUGCCCCUCAAUUGAAAGGCAUGCAAUGUUAAUCAAUUGGGUUAUUUUUGUGAUUCUGCGUUUCCUUUGUCUGGCGUACGUGGCUUUACCGUGGUGUACGUGGCUUUAUUGUGGUGUUACCAGGACCAGGAGAAUUGAGAGAGAAAUCCCCUUCUCUCUCUCCCACCGAAUUACACGCCAUUGCUCUCUCUCUCUCUCUCUCUCUCUCUGGAAUGAAAUCCUCAACGCCAGUGCUCCUUGAAUCAAAGCCAGCAGAGUUUCAGGCGGUGUUGGAGGUAGCCGACGAAAAUCUGGUCAGACGUAGUGUUGCUGGUACAGACUCUUUCGAAUCGUCGGCCGAGCCAUUUGUCAUUAUCGUCUUUCACUCCUCCAACCGGUGGCAACUUCACUUUGGUUCUAAAAUAAUUCCCUAAGCUGGCUCCUGUACUUUUUCAGGGAAGGGGUCAUUCAUUGAAUCCUACCAAUAGCUUGGUCUGCAAUUACAGAGGUAGGAAGGACGAAAGGGAGAAAAUAUCCCUGCCAGAAAUGGGAAGCGAUGGGAUGAUGGGUACAGUUUUGGAAUUUUACUCGAAGGUCCAGAUUCACGUCAUACGUCUCUCCUCACGUAGAGAAGGUUUCUUUAUUAUAGGACCAAAGGUGCGACCAAUUUCAGAGUUCUUGGCUUUUUGUAGAUCGUUAUGUUGUGAUCGGCGGCCAUCGAUAGCCAGCUCAUCCCUUUUCAUUAAGCCAUGCUGAGUUCAUCCCUUCAAGGCUCUAUCGGUGUUUAGUCCUCUUCGCAUCUUCAGCCAGGUUAUUCCAGACAACUUUCUUUAUCUUUUUUGUUUUUUGGUUUAAAAUUUUCAUAUUUAUGGGAAAGUGUUAUGGUAGAAUCUUUGAAAUGGAUUAUUGAGAAAAAUCAACAUUUGGUAGAUUGAAAUCUGACUCCCCCAACUAUCAAACAACAAAUGUGACCUGGGUAAAACUAUAAUGAAUUUAUGGGAUAAUCUUCUAAAGAAUUGGUAAUUCCAUUCUGAAUGUGUACUAAUGGAAAUGCCCCUUGCAUGCCUAAAAUGCAACACACAUGUUGAAAUUUCAAAAUUCUUUUGCUUUUAUUUAGAGGUCUGAAUGUCAUAUUAGGGCUUUCAAAUGACAAAAAACACUCUGACUAUGGUGCUUCCAGAGUCUUGUGAUCUUGGUUAAUAAUUAUUAAAUAAGAUCCAACUUCGCACUAGGAGUGUGUGGCUUAAUUUGAUUAGUUUGUAAUCGUCUAAAUGUUUUGGGUUGUUUGGUUAAAAACCUUUUUGAAGGAUGGGUGAUGCUAAUCUUUCUGAUUACAAUUGGCAAAAGGCUUCGUUGCUAGGCUGAUCGGUCAGUAUCUUAGCUUGAUAGGUAUAUGGGAGGUGUAUGCAAUUGAAACAAAGCAUUGAAUAGGGCCUUUUUUUUGUUCCUGUGAUUUUUGAAGUUUUAGGCGGAGGGGUUUCUAAUUAGAAUCUUACUACGAGGCAAAAUGAAAGGCUUGUGGGGCUGUUCUUCCAUGUCCUUGCAACGCUAUACAUCAAGAAUGGGCGCAAGGGUGAAAUUACCAAUAUUCUAAAUAGCAAGGCUUCUAUGAUUGACAUUGUGAACUCACUUACUCACUUAAUUACUUUAGGAUUCGUGACUGACUUAGUCUAUGUAAAUUGUGUUCUGAGUUUAUUUAACUCAGUGUUGUUUCUGUCUGCCCUUGGUCGAAGCUGAAACAUUAGGACCUCCGAAGACCAGUCUGGGGACCUUUGAAGACUGGUCCAUGCAUAUCUUUAUUUUUAGUUUGAAUUUGGAGCCCAUGGCUCACCUCAUCGAUUCAUUUUAGCUCUUAAAACCAACAUUCUACCAAGUUCAAUUUAGUAUUCUUCUGCUUGGUGGUACCUAUACUAUCUUAGCAAAAUUCUAUUGUCAAAGUUUGGUCGGCACUUUGAUGUAAAUCCCAAGGGCUGGAGAUUAUUUGCAGAUUUAUUGGAAAAUGCUACAUUUAGAAUGGAGAUUUUAACUCCAGCAUUUCCCCAUCUCUUUGUUCCAAUUGGUGCUGCUGCUGGAGCUGGAUGUUCAGCCGCUGCACUAAUCCAAGCAGCUACUAGGAGUUUUUUCUUUGCGGGCUUUGCAGCUCAGAGGAAUUUUGCGGAGGUAAUUGCAAAAGGUGAAGCUCAGGGAAUGGUGAGCAAAUUCAUUGGUAUCGGGCUCGGUAUAGCAUUAGCUAACUGCAUUCAGGGAUCUACACCUCUUGCUCUUGCUUCUUUUGGUGUGGUAACUUGGAUACACAUGUUCAGAAGCAGAAAACCGUUCAGAAGAACUUCUCGCUCUACCUCCAGAUAAGAAGAGCAAAAAAGGAGGGCACAAACCAAGCAGCUCAACCUCCACCCUAGCAAUCAACACCCCAGCAAACAGCAGCCCAACAAAACACACUCCAGCAGCUGAAGAAACUUCCAACAGCCCCAACAAGAACAAAUAGUCAGCUUCCAUAAUCUCCUAAACGCCACCAAAGAUAGGAACAUAUCUAAACCAUGACUUCUUCAUGUAACUUCUCUAUGAUAAAACUCUUGGUCAAACUAAUGCAUGUAACUUUUGCUCUGAUCAAGUACAUGCAUAAUAUUAGGAAGAACCAGAAAAAGAUCUCCACAACGGGCAUGACGGACGUGCUUGGCACGUCACCAUGCAUCUAGUUUAAUGAGAA